UACGUAGGGUGCGAGCGUUAAUCGGAAUUACUGGGCGUAAAGCGUGCGCAGGCGGUUUUGUAAGUCUGUCGUGAAAGCCCCGGGCUCAACCUGGGAAUGGCGAUGGAGACUGCAAGGCUUGAAUCUGGCAGAGGGGGGUAGAAUUCCACGUGUAGCAGUGAAAUGCGUAGAGAUGUGGAGGAACACCGAUGGCGAAGGCAGCCCCCUGGGUCAAGAUUGACGCUCAUGCACGAAAGCGUGGGGAGCAAACAGG
rnacentral:rRNA from 1 species